rnacentral:rRNA from 1 species
GACGAACGCUGGCGGCGUGCCUAAUACAUGCAAGUUGAGCGCUGAAGGCUGGUACUUGUACCAACUGGGUGAGCAGCGAACGGGUGAGUAACGCGUGGGGAAUCUGCCUUUGAGCGGGGGACAACAUUGGGAAACGAAUGCUAAUACCGCAUAAAAACUUUAAACACAAGGUUGAAGUUUGAAAGAUGCAAUUGCAUCACUCAAAGAUGAUCCCGCGUUGUAUUAGCUAGGUGGUGAGGUAAAGGCUCACCAAGGCGAUGAUACAUAGCCGACCUGAGAGGGUGGUCGGCCACAUUGGGACUGAGACACGGCCCAAACUCCUACGGGAGGCAGCAGUAGGGAAUCUUCGGCAAUGGACGAAAGUCUGACCGAGCAACGCCGCGUGAGUGAAGAAGGUUUUCGGAUCGUAAAACUCUGUUGGUAGAGAAGAACGUUGGUGAGAGUGGAAAGCUCAUCAAGUGACGGUAACUACCCAGAAAGGGACGGCUAACUACGUG